UUUAGAGAGAGUGGGGUGGAGAGAGAGAGAGAGAGAGAAUUCUUUUUUUUUUUAAUAUUUAUUUUUUAGUUCUCGGCGGACACAUCAUCUUUGUUUUUUUUGUAUGUGGUGCUGAGGAUCGAACCCGGGCCGCACGCAUGCGAGGCGAGCGCGCUACCGCUGAGCCACAUCCCCAGCCCACUACCUAACUUUAAAUCUGGCUUCAAUGGUCUGUAAUUAUAGCACAGAGUUAGAGUUUAUUUUAUCAUUUACUGGCCUAUUUGAUCCUCAAAGAUACUAUCCAGGGACUGAGGGUGUAGCUCAGCCAUUAGAACGUGUGUACUUAGUGUUGCCAGGCCCAGGGUUCAAUCCUGAGCAAAAACAAAAGUGUGUAUAUUAUCCUAGGCUAGUUUACAAAGGACUUGGAAUUCCAGGAGGCCUAUCUCAGAGUUUUCUACCCUGGUAACAUCACUGAGUUGUGAAAUUCAGAUUAUGUAAAGUACCUGAGUACAACAUAGGAAACCCUCAACAAGUGAAUUAUUCACACAGUUUUUGCCCAAUAGGUGUUUGCUUGUUUCCUUUUUGUACUGGGUGAUAGACCCAACCUGAUCUUUUAUUAAAAUUGGGAGCCAUCUUGCCACAAAGCCAUGAAAAGAUAAUUUCAGCUUUACUAUAAAUUACUGCAAAUUCUGAACCUGCUUGGAAUGCCUGCCCGUGCCUUGAACUCACCCAUGCCUGACUCUCUGACCAGAUAGCAGCCCUCUCUGAAACUUUAGUGACACCUCAUAAAUAUUGGCCUUCCCUGGCCAGACAACGACCCUCUCUGAGGCUCUAAUGGUCCUCAUAAAUUCUGAUGUUGGGGCCAGCAAAAAAAAAAAAAAUGUAAACUACCAUUAGUGUGAUGCUUGUCAGAGUUCUGUUAUCUGUAACCCCCCUAUGUGUAACUUUCUGGGCUAUAAAGCUGGGCUGUAGGAAAGGUGGGGUGCUGUCUUGUUCCCGCCGUUUUGGGAGGGAGAAGCAGCCCGGCCGGUCGAAAUAAUAAGCUUGCUUUAAUUUGAUUUUAAUUGGAGUCAGUGGUCUUUUCUUGCGUCCUGGUCUAACAUUUUGGAGUUCCCCAGCGAGAUGACCCUGCCCGACCAGAUCACAAGACCAGACUGCUGG
rnacentral:lncRNA from 1 species